rnacentral:rRNA from 1 species
GACGAACGCUGGCGGCGUGCUUAACACAUGCAAGUCGAACGGAAAGGCCCUGCUUGCAGGGUGCUCGAGUGGCGAACGGGUGAGUAACACGUGGGUGAUCUGCCCCUUACUUUGGGAUAAGCCUGGGAAACUGGGUCUAAUACUGGAUAGGACCAUGCUGUAGGCGGGGUGGUGGAAAGAUUUUUUCGGUAAGGGAUGAGCUCGCGGCCUAUCAGCUUGUUGGUGGGGUAAUGGCCUACCAAGGCGUCGACGGGUAGCCGGCCUGAGAGGGUGGACGGCCACAUUGGGACUGGGAUACGGCCCAGACUCCUACGGGAGGCAGCAGUGGGGAAUAUUGCACAAUGGGCGCAAGCCUGAUGCAGCGACGCCGCGGGGGGGAUGACGGCCUUCGGGUUGUAAACUCCUUUCAGCCAUGACGAAGCCUCUUUUGGGGUGACGGUAGUGGUAGAAGAAGCACCGGCUAACUACGUG